rnacentral:rRNA from 1 species
GAUGAACGCUAGCGGCAGGCUUAACACAUGCAAGUCGAGGGGUAACAGGAGUGCUUGCACUCGCUGACGACCGGCGCACGGGUGCGUAACGCGUAUAGAAUCUACCUUGUAGUAAGGGAUAGCCCAGAGAAAUUUGGAUUAAUACCUUAUAGUAUCAAAAAGCAGCAUUGUUUUAUGAUUAAAGAUUUAUUGCUAUAAGAUGACUAUGCGUUCUAUUAGCUAGUUGGUAUGGUAACGGCAUACCAAGGCUACGAUAGAUAGGGGUCCUGAGAGGGAGAUCCCCCACACUGGUACUGAGACACGGACCAG